CUGAAACGCCACAAACCAACAUGGACUCCCCAAGGGGCUCAGGGCUGGAGUGCAGUGGUUUGAUCUUGGAUCUCUGCAACCUCCACCACCCUCCUGCCUCAGCCUCCCGAGUAGCUGGGAUUACAGAGGUGAGGGUCUCACUACAUUGUCCAGCCUAGUCUUGAACUCCUGGCCUCAAGGAUCGUCUCACCUUAGACUCCUAAAACUGCUGGGAUUACAGGUAUGAGGCACCACACCCGGCCCCAAACUCUUUUAGAGUAGUUUUAGGUUCACAGCAAAUUGAGCAGAAAGUGCAGAGAGUUCCUAUA